CAACUUUUCCACCAAGGGGGAAGGAAGAGGGAUGAAUGGCUUCAGGAUGAUUCCAAAGAGCAAAUACCAAUCCCUUUCUAACAGCCCGAAAGGAAGAGAAUGUAGUGUGAAAUAUCUGUAUGAGACAGCUUGUUAGCUAAUUUCAUUAUUUUUGUGAAAAGAGAAUGGAAGAAAACAGAAGUGUUCAUUCAUGUAGAGAGCCCUAGGAAUCUUGACAGGUGGUUAAGGAAGAAUUCCCUCUUAUUUACAAUUAAC
rnacentral:lncRNA from 1 species